CAAAGUGUUGGGCAGUGUUGUGCAUCAAGAGCGCUCGCCACUGGGCAAUGGCUAGCCAACUAGACACAGACAACAAUCCCUUUUGUUCUGUCAUCACAUCUUGGGAGCUGGAUAUUGAUUACUAUCUUCAUGUGACGACAGCUAGGGAUGAUCUCAUGUCUGAUAGCUACCACUUGAGGCAAGUUUUAGUGGUUCUUUGGUUCACUUAACAAGAUGAUAACUCGUAAUCUUAGUGGUUAUGAUACAAUGAUUUCAUCCCCUUAACAAGAUGAUAACUCGCAGUUUGCACCUGGAAAUAAUGUGUUUGUGGGAUCUGGAGUGCGGCUGGCGGGUGCGCGCACAGCAUGUGCGAC
rnacentral:lncRNA from 1 species